UACGGAGGGUGCAAACGUUGCUCGGAAUCAUUGGGCGUAAAGCGCACGUAGGCGGCCUGACAAGUCGGGUGUGAAAGCCCUGGGCUCAACCCAGGAAGUGCACUCGAAACUGCCAGGCUUGAAUAUGGAAGAGGGUCGCGGAAUUCCCGGUGUAGAGGUGAAAUUCGUAGAUAUCAGGAGGAACACCCGUGGCGAAGGCGGCUCUCUAUCUCGAUUCUGACGCUGAGGCGCGAAAGCUAGGGGAGCAAACGGG
rnacentral:rRNA from 1 species